rnacentral:rRNA from 1 species
UACGGAGGGUGCGAGCGUUGUCCGGAAUCACUGGGCGUAAAGGCGCGUAGGCGCCCUCGGCAGUCGGUGGUGAAAGCCCGUGGCUCAACUGCGGGUCGGCCACCGAUACUCCGAGGGCUCGAGUUUGGUAGAGGCAGAUGGAAUUCCGGGUGUAGCGGUGGAAUGCGUAGAGAUCCGGAAGAACACCGGUGGCGAAGGCGGUCU